GCUGAUCAGUAGCUGGUCUGAGAGGACGACCAGCCACACUGGAACUGAGACACGGUCCAGACUCCUACGGGAGGCAGCAGUGGGGAAUUUUGGACAAUGGGCGCAAGCCUGAUCCAGCAAUGCCGCGUGAGUGAAGAAGGCCUUCGGGUUGUAAAGCUCUUUUGUCAGGGAAGAAACGGUGAGGGCUAAUAUCCCUUGCUAAUGACGGUACCUGAAGAAUAAGCACCGGCUAACUACGUGCCAGCAGCCGCGGUAAUACGUAGGGUGCAAGCGUUAAUCGGAAUUACUGGGCGUAAAGCGUGCGCAGGCGGUUUUGUAAGUUUGUCGUGAAAUCCCCGGGCUCAACCUGGGAAUGGCGAUGAAGACUGCAAGGCUAGAGUUUGGCAGAGGGGGGUAGGAUUCCACGUGUAGCAGUGAAAUGCGUAGAUAUGUGGAGGAACACCGAUGGCGAAGGCAGCCCCCUGGGUCAAAACUGACGCUCAUGCACGAAAGCGUGGGGAGCAAACAGGAUUAGAUACCCUGGUAGUCCACGCCCUAAACGAUGUCUACUAGUUGUCGGGUCCUAAUUGACUUGGUAACGCAGCUAACGCGUGAAGUAGACCGCCUGGGGAGUACGGUCGCAAGAUUAAAACUCAAAGGAAUUGACGGGGACCCGCACAAGCGGUGGAUGAUGUGGAUUAGUUCGAUGCAACGCGAAAAACCUUACCUACCCUUGACAUGGAUGGAAUCCCGGAGAGAUUUGGGAGUGCUCGAAAGAGAACCAUCACACAGGUGCUGCAUGGCUGUCGUCAGCUCGUGUCGAGAGAUGUUGGGUUAAGUCCCGCAACGAGCGCAACCCUUGUCAUUAGUUGCUACGAAAGAGCACUCUAAUGAGACUGCCGGUGACAAACCGGAGGAAGGUGGGGAUGACGUCAAGUCCUCAUGGCCCUUAUGGGUAGGGCUUCACACGUCAUACAAUGGUACAUACAGAGGGCCGCCAACCCGCGAGGGGGAGCUAAUCCCAGAAAGUGUAUCGUAGUCCGGAUUGUAGUCUGCAACUCGACUGCAUGAAGUUGGAAUCGCUAGUAAUCGCGGAUCAGCAUGUCGCGGUGAAUACGUUCCCGGGUCUUGUACACACCGCCCGUCACACCAUGGGAGCGGGUUUUACCAGAAGUAGGUAGCUUAACCGUAAGGAGGGCGCUUACCACGGUAGGAUUCGUGACUGGGGUGAAGUCGGAACAAGGUA
rnacentral:rRNA from 1 species